rnacentral:rRNA from 1 species
AAUGAACGUUGGCGGCGUGGAUUAGGCAUGCAAGUCGAGCGAGAAAUUCCCUGCUUGCAGGGAAUGGACAGCGGCGAAAGGGAGAGUAACGCGUGGAUAACCUACCCUGGGGUCCGGAAUAGCUGCGGGAAACUGCAGGUAAUGCCGGAUAACAUCUUCGGAUCAAAGGUGUGAUUCCGCCCUGGGAGGGGUCCGCGUCCUAUUAGCUUGUUGGUGGGUAACGGCCUACCAAGGCGACGAUGGGUACCGGGUGUGAGAGCAUGGCCCGGCUCACUGGGACUGAGACACUGCCCAGACACCUACGGGUGGCUGCAGUCGAGAAUCUUCGGCAAUGGGCGCAAGCCUGACCGAGCGACGCCGCGUGCGGGAUGAAGGCCUUCGGGUUGUAAACCGCUGUCGGAGGGGAGGAAAUCGUAAGGGGCUAUCCCCUUAGGUUGACCUAUCCUUAGAGGAAGGACGGGCUAAGUUCGUG